rnacentral:lncRNA from 1 species
UACAACAGUACUUAAAUAAAAGUACACAACUAACGCAUAAACAACACAACUACGGUUGAAAACUCUGAAAACCAAACUUCUGUGGUUACCUUUGUAUUACAGAAGAACAACAAAACUACGGAGGACAGAAAACAUUACAUGCUACCAAGGUAAAUUACAUAUAAAAUAUACUACAUGAAGCUAUCAUCUGGAAAAGCAAAAACUAACAUUAUAUGAGAGCACGAAAAUACAGGACAUUUAUACAGAUAUGGGGAACUAACCACAUUCCUCCUAGAAGCAGAUGAUAGUUUCCUCUUUAAGCAUUUUACUUUCUGAAAUGACAAAAAACACAAAUGUCACCAAAAAGAAAAAAGCCAAAUUAACAAAAGAAAGAAAGAACUAAAAAGAAAAGAAAGAACAUACUUGAUUGAGAUAGAACUUCAAAAG